GCCACUGGCUGCGAUGGCAUGUGCCUGUAGUCCCAGCUACUCAGGAGGCUGAGGCUGGAGGAUCUCUUGAGUCCAGGAGUUCUGAGCUGUAGUGCGCUAUGCCGAUCUGGUGUCCGCACUAAGUUCAGCAUCAAUCUGGUGAAUUCCCGGGAGCGGGGGACCACCAGGUUGCCUAAGGAGGGGUGAACCAGCCCAGGUCGGAAAUGGAGCAGGUCAGAACUCCCAUGCUGAUCAGUAGUGGGUUUGCGCCUCUGAAUAGCCACUGCACUCCAGCCUGGGCAACAUAGUGAGACCUCAUCUCU
rnacentral:SRP_RNA from 1 species